UGCACCACUCCUACGGGAGGCUGCAGUCGAGGAUCUUCGUCAAUGGGCGCAAGCCUGAACGAGCGAUGCCGCGUGAGCGAUGAAGGCCUUCGGGUUGUAAAGCUCAAAAGGGGUGAGAAAGGGCAACUUGAUCGAACCCCAGUAAGCUCGGGCUAAGUUCGUGCCAGCAGCCGCGGUAAGACGAACCGAGCGAACGUUGUUCGGAAUCACUGGGCUUAAAGGGCGCGUAGGCGGGUGCUCAAGUCCGGGGUGAAAUCCUCCAGCUCAACUGGAGAACUGCCUCGGAUACUGGGUGUCUCGAGUGUGGUAGGGGUAUGCGGAACUAUCGGUGGAGCGGUGAAAUGCGUUGAUAUCGAUAGGAACUCCGGUGGCGAAGGCGGCAUACUGGACCACUACUGACGCUGAUGCGCGGAAGCCAA
rnacentral:rRNA from 1 species